AAGACCCAUUUGUCUGUCUGUCUGUCUAGAAGGAUGGAUAAAUGAAUCAAACUCCAUUGCAAACAAAAUUUGACAACUAGGCCAUUUCAAAGCCUUAUUUCCUUCACUUAACUAUGGGCUCCCCACUCAACUGUUUAUCUGUUGGAACUUACUGUCACCAUCAAGACCUGGACCUCUCAACUUCAACUGAUCAUCUUCAAAUGUUGCAAGAUGCCCAGUAAACCUCUACCCUGGUACCAACAAGCAAAACAGAGAAUGAAAACACCCACUUUCCAGAAGCAAACAGAAUGUAAAAUAUCUCCAUUCCUAAAAAUGUAAAAGCUCCAGAAAUGAGUUUCUAUUCUCCUUAGAUACCUAGGUGCCUGCCCAGGUGUACCUCUUUCUUCGCUAUGUCUGGUCCCCAGGCAACACAAAAAUCUGCCAGUUUUUCACAGAAACCUUCCAUGGUUUUUCUGUAACCUCAACUACUCUAGAUCCAUUGAUUCUAAUAAGUCUCCUUUUUCCAUAAUAUCUGUGAAUCGAGCCUCAGCUGGACAUGUUAACUCGAUGGGCUUGGCAUUCCUAGCUGUGUUGAAUGAAAUCAGAAGUGUAGCGUUUUGGUGACUUAAGAUGACAAACAUUCCAUGCCUGUCAAACCAGGUGACCCAGGAGCU
ensembl:lincRNA Gm12434 predicted gene 12434